UGGCGGGCAAGCGAUGUACCUGCUUGGAGAGCGACUGCGCUCGAAUCAUUUCCUCGUCGUGGAUUUCGGGGGAGUCGGGCGCUACGGGAAAACCAAGCGUGUUUUGGAAGGGCUGUCCUGAGAUCCUUGCGGGAUCGGUUGGAUGCCUUUGGCUAUUCGCUAUUCGAGGAAUUGUCUGGGAUCAAGUGAGCGGGCAGCUUUACCUCCAGCUUCCUUCGCUUCCGGAGGGAUCGAUGAAGCUUUCUUCGGGACCGGCAGAGAGUUUGCGAUGGAUCCUGGUUAAGAAGAAGUCGUGGGAGUUCAGAUGAAAUUACCUUUGUUCCUGUAAAUCUUAAUCUCUUCUGCCCAGUCCCGAGAACCGAAAGUGUGGAGUGGAAGGGAUCUAACGAGAUUAGUUUAGCCCUUCCCACCGUCUUCUUUUCUUCCUCUCGGCCAAAUGGAUCUAUCCUUGGAGAGCUCUUUCCGCCUAGAAAUGAUACUGCCAUGGAUAUAUAUAUAUACAUACACACACAUACGGUAUACAUCUGCCUCUUGGGGGGGGGGGAAGCAGGGACGUCUUGGGGGCGAAGACGCCUCUAUUUCUUACCGGACCGACCAAGGAAAGUCACCGGUGGAUGCCUGCCUGUUUUUUCUCUGAUCUGGAUAUAACGCUUCGCAGUGAUGCUUUCCUUCUCUCGCCCCCACUCCCUCUUCCCUGAGUCCUGGCGUUUUGCCAUACAUAGAUAAGCUUGGAGGCGCCUUUGGCAUCCCGUGUUUGUGGAAUAUAAUGGGCGGCUGCCUCCUGUCACUUUGUUCUCCGUGGAAGGCGGCGCGGAAGGAUUAUGUGCCAGAAGGAAAAUGAAAAUAGGGAUCCAGAAAGAUGCUGACAGAAAGGCUGUCUCUGGAGAAGAUAUAAAUCCAUCAUCUAAACAUAUCUUCAUAUCUUUUCAACUUUGCCGAAGUUUUGAACUAAGCUUCAGAAAACCAUAGAACUGUGAAUGGUACCUCGAAUUUAGCUUUGGAAUAAAUUUAAGUAGAGAUACAUUAGAAAUUUACCUUCUCUGCAUAAUGUUUAUGCACAAAAAUGGAAGGACACUUUGAUUCCCACAAUGGAUGAAUGGCUGCAAAACUUGAUGGAAUUAGCAGAGAUGGCUAAAUUGACUGCUUUGAUUAAAGGAAAAAAAAAACACAAUUACUUUUGUUUCUACUUGGAAACCACGUCUGGACUUCGUACUUGAGAUGGAAAAAAAAAUGAAAUUUUGAUUUGAGGUUUUACCAAUUAGAUAGGUUUGUUGUUAUAGAAAUGACUAGUUCAUAUUAUUACGUAAAAGUAAAAAGUUGAGGUUUGAUGCUGUUAUCUUAUUCUGUUCCACCAAAGGGAGUCAUAAGCCUUUUCUUUCUUCUCCCUCUUUCCCUUAUACUUUUCUCUUUCCUUCUCCAUCCCUUACUUUCCUACUACUUUCUUUGGUAUUUUUGUAUUUUAUAUUAUAAACUAAUAAAAAAAUCAAAAUAAAUUUAUCGUCUCUGAAAAGUAAAGGAAUUAAACACUU